UCCUACGGGGGGCAGCAGUGAGGAAUAUUGGUCAAUGGGCGGGAGCCUGAACCAGCCAAGCCGCGUGAAGGAAGAAGGCGCCAAGCGUCGUAAACUUCUUUUGUCGGGGAACAAAGGGCGCCACGUGUGGCGUUGUGAGUGUACCCGAAGAAAAAGCAUCGGCUAACUCCGUGCCAGCAGCCGCGGUAAUACGGAGGAUGCGAGCGUUAUCCGGAUUUAUUGGGUUUAAAGGGUGCGUAGGCGGAGUGUCAAGUCAGCGGUAAAAUUUCGGGGCUCAACCCCGUCGUGCCGUUGAAACUGACGCC
rnacentral:rRNA from 1 species